rnacentral:rRNA from 1 species
GACGAACGCUGGCGGCGUGCUUAACACAUGCAAGUCGAACGGAAAGGCCCUGCUUUUGUGGGGUGCUCGAGUGGCGAACGGGUGAGUAACACGUGAGUAACCUGCCCUUGACUUUGGGAUAACUUCAGGAAACUGGGGCUAAUACCGGAUAGGAGCUCCUGCUGCAUGGUGGGGGUUGGAAAGUUUCGGCGGUUGGGGAUGGACUCGCGGCUUAUCAGCUUGUUGGUGGGGUAGUGGCUUACCAAGGCUUUGACGGGUAGCCGGCCUGAGAGGGUGACCGGCCACAUUGGGACUGAGAUACGGCCCAGACGUCUACGGGAGGCAGCAGUGGGGAAUAUUGCACAAUGGGCGGAAGCCUGAUGCAGCAACGCCGCGUGCGGGAUGACGGCCUUCGGGUUGUAAACCGCUUUCGCCUGUGACGAAGCGUGAGUGACGGUAAUGGGUAAAGAAGCACCGGCUAACUACGUG